GAGUUGCAAAGAACAAACUUGGAGUUGGAUUCGUACAAGGAGAAGAUAAAAGAGAAUCAGGAGAAGAUUAAGCUCAAUAAGCAAUUGCCCUACUUGGUUGGCAACAUUGUUGAGAUUUUGGAAAUGAACCCAGAAGAUGAAGCUGAGGAAGA